CCCUGUCUAGAAGCAAAGAGGAAGGAUGCAAUGCUACGUAUCUUUGCAAAGUUCGGUAUACCAAAGAAAUAAUAAUCCUACUUUCAAAAAUCCAGUCAUUUAAAACUUCAGUCUUAUUUUUCUAUUACUAUUUUCAACCAUGCCAUUUUCCUCAUGAAAUCUGAUUUCCCAUCAGCUUUUCAGAGUUCAACUGUUUCCAAGGUUUCUGUCAGACUGUCCUACCAUCCUCCCACUCCUAACUACCCAGCUGCCCCUUGUGUUCUAGCCAAAUAAAUCUCUUGGCGCCACUGUCCUUACACCCACUGCUGCCUCCACAUCAUUCUCCACCCCCUGUGUGUGGAACUGUCUCCCACUUCCAUCUGCCAUUUUUCUCUCUCUUCUCUAUCAUAUAAUUGCCCCAAAAGCCCACCUCUCCCAGGAAGCCUUCCUUAAUCAAGGUUAAUCAUCCACAAUUAGCAUUUUGAAAAAUAUUUUUCCAACCUUUCUUCUCCGGAGGCUGAGGCAGUAGAAUCGCUUGAACCCUGGGGGCAGAGGUUGCAAUGAGCCAAGAUCUUGCCAUUCCACUCCAGCCUGGGCAACAAGAGCGAAACUCUGUCUCAAAAAGAAAAGAAAAGGAAAGAAAAACCACCUCCCACCAGGUUAAAUAAAUAAUUAACAUUUUGGUAUGUACCCUUCCAGACAUUUUCCUAUGCAUCACAUCAAU
rnacentral:lncRNA from 1 species